CCUCGGGAAUCAGUCGAACGUCGCGCGAACGCGAUCAGGUUCAAAGGAGCGUAAAAGUCCUACUCUGAUCGUCUAGUAGUUGCGUAUGUGAGGCGCAUUUCUCGAGGGUUAGCGUCGUGACCGAUGCGAAAGGCCAGUGAGACUGUCGGGGUUGAGGUGGAAUUCCCUUUGGGGUUUUCCUUACCAACUUGGUGGUGAUAAUCGCUGGACCGUAGUAGGCAUCGAGCGUCUAUAAAAAUAACGUUGGCGAGUAAAAUGCGCUCGCUUAGUAAAUGACGGAGAGUCGGCCUAUUAGUCGACGCCUGCUCGCAGGCGUUCGUUUAAUAGCUCGGUCGAUUACAAAGUCAUCGGCGACGUACCAACGUUUAGGCGUCCACGACGUCCGAGUCGGUUACCUGUCCGACCCGUCUUGAAACACGGACCAAGGAGUCUAACGUACGCGCGAGUUAAUGGGUGAAAAACCUAUAAGCGCAAUAAAAGUAAAAACUGUCUUUAGACAGUCGAGGUACGAUAUUAAGGUACCGCAUUCCGCCCUAGUCGCAGUACCGUCCCGUCCCGACCGCUUGUCGGUAGGGCGGAGACAGAGCGUAUACGUUGGGACCCGAAAGAUGGUGAACUAUGCCUGAGCAGAGCGAAGCCAGAGGAAACUCUGGUGGAGG
rnacentral:rRNA from 1 species